rnacentral:rRNA from 1 species
UUGAACGCUGGCGGCAUGCCUUACACAUGCAAGUCGAACGGCAUCACGGGAGCAAUCCUGGUGGCGAGUGGCGAACGGGUGAGUAAUGUAUCGGAACGUACCUUUCAGUGGGGGAUAACGUAGCGAAAGUUACGCUAAUACCGCAUAUUCUGUGAGCAGGAAAGCAGGGGAUCGCAAGACCUUGCGCUGAUUGAGCGGCCGAUAUCAGAUUAGCUAGUUGGUGAGGUAAAGGCUCACCAAGGCGACGAUCUGUAGCUGGUCUGAGAGGACGACCAGCCACACUGGAACUGAGACACGGUCCAGACUCCUACGGGAGGCAGCAGUGGGGAAUUUUGGACAAUGGGCGCAAGCCUGAUCCAGCAAUGCCGCGUGCAGGAUGAAGGCCUUCGGGUUGUAAACUGCUUUUGUACGGAACGAAACGGCUCUUUUUAAUACAGAGGGCUAAUGACGGUACCGUAAGAAUAAGCACCGGCUAACUACGU